rnacentral:lncRNA from 1 species
GGGGGAGACUUCCAGAUCGGGCACUGUCCCCCACCUGCACCCCCCCCCAGCCACACUGGAUAAAAGGCGGCGGGGUGCGUCACGCGGGGGCGCACGCAGGAGCGAGCCGGGUUAAGCCGCGCAAAGCCGGCGCACGGGACCAGCCGGCAGGUGCAGCCGCCCGCUCAGCGGUCCCCGGCUCUGGCGCAUCGGCUGCAGCGGCCCCAGGAUUAUCGGAGCCC